rnacentral:rRNA from 1 species
CAGUAGCCGCGGGAACACGAAGGGGGCUAGCGUUGCUCGGAAUCACUGGGCGUAAAGGGUGCGUAGGCGGGUUUUUAAGUCAGAGGUGAAAUCCUGGAGCUCAACUCCAGAACUGCCUUUGAUACUGGAAGUCUUGAGUAUGGGAGAGGUGAGUGGAACUGCGAGUGUAGAGGUGAAAUUCGUAGAUAUUCGCAAGAACACCAGUGGCGAAGGCGGCUCACUGGCCCAUAACUGACGCUGAGGCACGAAAGCGUGGGGAGCAAACAGGAUUAGAUACCCCUGUAGUCCCUGUCUCUUAUAC